UUUAUAGAGCACUACAGAGCACCGAGGUGCAAUUUCACCCUCUUAUCUCUUCUCCUCUCCUUACAGGUAGGUUCCUUUUGGUGACGUGGUUGGAAUUCACCGAUUUGGACUCAUUCCGUUAUGAGCGAACUCAACCGAGCAACUAUCUUGUUAGGGGACCCCAGCGGCCAAAGGGGCCAAAGCAGCCACUUGUGUCGCUCUUCAGGUGGGCUAUGAUCAGAUCUAUUACGCAUAAUGAGUGGACCAUUUCCAUUUCAUCUGUGGGUCUGGAGGGCUAUUUAUUUAACAUACUCCCCAAGGGAAAGACAGGGAAGGAGACGCGAAAAAGCAGCGGGACGAGGAAGAAAUGAAUUUUAUGUUCACGGGAAUAAAUUCUGGACUGUUGAAGAACUCUGAAUUGGUCCAAAAUGAUGUCGGAGAAGAAAGAAAUUUGGUUGCGAGACUGUAGAGGGUUUUGUUUUGGAAGAACAGGCCAGGAAACAUGAUAAAUGGAAUCUCAGAAAGACAUUUACAUUUAUUAUGUCAUAAGAUUUUCUGGCAGUGAUGUAAUUAUG